rnacentral:lncRNA from 1 species
GGAAAAGGCAGAAUGCCUAAGCUAUGUCUUUGUGGCCAAUAGGAUAGCUCUGUAUCUCUCACAUGACUCACUGCCCCUGUCUUUCACAUGGGCUGUAAUUUAGUUCAAUUCAGAACUGCAGAUAGUACAGCUUCCACAGGAGCAAGGGAUGUCUGAGCACAAGUGGCUGAGUUCCGAGUGACUUUAUGAAGCACUUUCUACCUUCCUCUCCGGCAUGAAAACAGGGAUUCUGCACCUGCAUCAUGGACAGUCUGGCAAAAGCCUCUGCUCUGCCUCCGGGGACAAGAAACUAGAGCAAAUAACCGUUUUGAAAUUAGAUCCUGGCAAAAUUACCAACAAUCAAUGAUGGAAACUGAAGGGAGAUUGAUUUAAAUCUUCAAUGACAGUUGUACAGAAGUUGAAGAAACACGUCAUCUUUCCAAAGAAGAGUGAGUAGCUUGGUUGGUGGUACCCUAAAAUUAGGGCAUGAUUAAGGUCUCGCUCUGCCACCCAGGCUAGGAGUGCAGUAGAGUGACUACAGUUCACAGCAGACUCAACCUUCCAGGCUCAAGCAAUCCUCUCACCUCGGCCUCCCAAGUACCUGGGACUACAGGCACACUCCACCAUUCCCAGCUAAUUUUUGUAUUUUUUGUAGAGACAUGGUUUUGACAUAUUGUCCAGGCUGGUCUUUUACUGUCAAAUUGCUAUAUUUUAUUGCUUUUGUUUUUGAAUAUUUUUGAUCCAUGAUUGAGUCCAUGAACAUGGAACCUGUGGACAUGGAGGCCCAACAAUAGUACUUAAUGUCUUUCUAACACAGCUACCUUAUGAACUCUGGAAAAAAUUGUAUGCCAGCCAAAGCAGUGGAACAACCAUAUUCUACUCACUGGAUUGUCCUCAACUGUUCAACAAUACCUCCCAAACUUGUUCCUGACUUCCGCCCAACAUGCAAUGACUCCAUUCUCAUUGUGCUCUUACCUGUUUCACUUAGUUGGAUUAUUUCUGUUCAAAAAUAUGUUUGAUUUUUAAAACUCAGGCUUUCACAGCUUUUAAAAGUUGUAUAAACCACUGUAUUUGUUUGAUAGAUGUGGGUGAAUUUGGCUUCCUACAAAGCAAUAACAAAUCAUCCACAUAGGAAAGUUACCAUUUCUGCAGAUGGAAAAAUGUGUACCUUGCUUCUCAUAUCAUUGUUUUCAUUUUGCAAGAUAUGAAUUUCUUGAAUAGUGGUAUCACCUACAAUUACUUAAAAAAUUAAAAUAAUUUAGGGCACCUUAGCUUGAUAGCUUUCUAAAGAUAUAAACAAGUUAUUUGGUUUAAUGAGGGGAAAAAAAUUGGUCUAAAGGAAAAUGGACUGACAGCUUUGUUACAUACUAAAAAUCAACCAAUAACUGUCUUUUAAUGUUGUUGGUGAUAGUUGUUUUGUUUUUUAAGCAGGAAACACACAGAUGUACUCUAAAAAUCAUUCUUAGUAGAAGUCUUUAAUAUCAUUUUACUUAUAGAUACUAAGUAUAAAUCUUCCACUUAAUCUGUGUUAAAAUAUGAUAUUCUUUUAUUUGUCAGUUAAUAGUUUGUAAGGACCAGAAAGUAACCAUUUCUAUAAAGCAGUUCUCUAGACAAGGUAAAAUGGUAAACCACCAUUAGAUGCUUUUUCUCCUUCUUCUCUGUCACGUGAUAUUAAAAAAGACUGGCCUGGGCAUGGUGACUCAUGCCUGUAAUCCCAGUAAUUUGGGAGUCCAAGGCUUUCAGAUCACCUGAGGUCAGGAGUUCGAGACCAGUCUGACCAACACGGAGAAACCCCAUCUCUACUAAAAAUACACAAUUAGCCGAGUGUGAUGGCGCAUGCCUGUAAUCCCAGCUACUCAGGAGGCUAUGGCAGGAGAAUCACUUGAACCCGGGAGGUGGAGGUUGCAGUGAACCGAGAUCAUGCCAUUGUACUCCAGCCUGGGCAACAAGAGCGAAACUCCAUCACCAAAAAAUAAAAUAAAAUAAAAAAUAUCCCAAUAACAGGGUUUUCUUGGGGCAUGUACCAUUGUGCUAAAUCUUCCAUUGAUGAACAUAUUGCAAUCUUUCCAUUGUUGCUUCACUUCUCAGCUUUUUAUGCAGAUAUAUUUUUAAAAUUAUCAGCAGACAAAACAUGUCUCAUCCUUUUCCUCUUUAUUCAUAUUCUUUUCAUUUGCCAUUUUUCAGUAUUUAGAGUAUGCUGCCCACGAGUCCCACGUUAUAGACUGGCUCACUGAAAGACUCAAACACUUCCUUCAGUCAAAUAUUCCCAACUGUUAUUUCUAACAAUUCCUUGUUCCUUGGUAGCUUUAUUAUGUUGGGCUUUUGUUUUCAAAUUCUGCAUAUUGAUUUAUAACUAGCUGUUAUUUCUAGCUGUGUGAUCUUAAACCAGUCACAUGAAUUCCCUGGGUUCUAAUUCUCUUAUCUGUAAAAUGAGCAAACUAUGAGAAUUCAUCUGUGUUGUUAUGAAAAUAAAAUAAGCUAUUGCUAACAAAACUCUUAAAAUAGUGCCUGGCCACGGUGGCUCGUGUCUGUAAUCCCAGCACUUUAGGAGGCCAAGGUGGGGGGAUCACGAGGUCAAGACAUCGAGACCAUCCUGGCCAACAUGGUGAAACGCCGUCUCUACUAAAAAUACAAAAAUUAGCUGGGUGUGGAGGUGGGCACCUGUAGUCCCAUCUACUUGGCAGGCUGAGGCAGGAGAAUAGCUUGAACCCGGGAGGUGGAGGUUGCAAUGAACUGAGAUCCUACCACUGCACUCCAGCCUGGUAACAGAGCAAGGCUCUGUCUCAAACAAACAAACAAACAAAAAGUGCCUAGCACAUAGUGUUCAAUAAAUGUUAAUGAUUACUAUGGAGAUCAAUACAUGUAAUAAUAUUUAGUUUUCCAAUUCAACCUUCCUACUAAUGCAGCCCUUUCCAUUUCUGACUUUGAAAAUAAAAAUGCUUUCAAUAAUACAAAAAACGCAUUUAACAAUUUUACUUACAAAACAUUUUUGCACAUAACAUUUCAGUAAGCUCCAUGAAGGUAGGGAUCUCUGGUUUCCUGUCUUGGUCGGUGUGGUAAGAUGCUUCUUGGUAACUACUGACUGAAUGAAAAACAGAAUAAUGUCAUUUUGCACUUACAUUUUACACUUGCACCCCUGAGUCUCAUGAAGAAAUAGUGAUAUAU